AGAAUAAAAGUAGUAAUAUAUUAUUAAGAAAAAUAAUUUUAAGUUUUAAAGUUUAAAGUAAAGUUUAAUGAAAGUAAAUUUGGAAAUAAAAAGCUAUAGUGGAAAGUAUCGUAGGAGAAAGUUGAAAUAUUGUAAGAUGUUAAUAAUUUAAAAGUAAUUGUAAAAAAGUGUACCUUGUGUAUUAGGGAUGAUUAAAAUUAUUUGAAUAAAAUCUAUGAUCUCGAAAUAAAAAUAGUUAAGUUAAAAAUUAAGUUUUCGUGUUAAUGAAAUUAGAAAUUUUAAUUUAGUAGUGAAAUGUUAGUCGAGUUUUAAAUAUCUGGUUUCUUUAAAAAUAAAUUAAAUUUAGCCUUUAAAUUAAAUUAAGUUAAAGAGUAAAAGUAGGAGGGGAGAGCUUCUUAUUUGAAAUAGAUGAGUUUAUAAAGUGAUAAAAUAAAUAAAUUAAAAUUAGGCUUAAAAAUAGUUUUGUUUAUAAAAUGUUAUAAUUAAUAAUUUGAAGUUAAAUUAUUUAUAUUACUUUUAAAAAAAUAUAAGGAAAUAAUUAUAAAUUUGUAAUAUUUAGUUAAAAUGAUUUUAUUAGUAUAAUUUGUUGUUAAUAAUAAAAAUAGAAUAAUUAAUAAAUUUUAAUGAAAUUAUGGUAUGUAAAAGGAAUUCGGCAAAUUAUACUUUUGCCUGUUUAUCAAAAACAUGUCUAUAUGAAAGUUUUAUAAAGUCUAGCCUGCCCACUGAAAUAGUUAAAGGGCCGCGGUAUUUUGACCGUGCGAAGGUAGCAUAAUCAUUAGUCUUUUAAUUGAAGGCUUGUAUGAAUGGUUGGACAAAAAGUAAGCUGUCUUUAAAUAAAAUUUGAAUUUAACUUUUAAGUGAAAAGGCUUAAAUGAAUUUAAGGGACGAUAAGACCCUAUAAAGCUUUACAUUAAUAAAAUAAUAUAUAAAAUAUUAAUGUAGAAAGUUCUUUAUUUUUUAGAUGUUUUGUUGGGGCGACAGAAGUAUAAAUGUAACUGCUUUGAGAUUUAUAAUCAGUAAUUUCUGUAAGAAAAAUGAUCCUUUGUAAGGAUUAGGAGAUUAAGUUACUUUAGGGAUAACAGCGUUAUUUUUUUUUGAGAGUUCAUAUCGACAAAAAAGUUUGCGACCUCGAUGUUGAAUUAAAGUUUCCUUUUAAUGUAGCAGUUAAAACGGAGGGUCUGUUCGACCUUUAAAUCUUUACAUGAUUUGAGUUCAGACCGGCGUGAGCCAGGUUGGUUUCUAUCUUUAAUAUAAUAAAUAAUCAUUUUAGUACGAAAGGAUUGAAUGGUUGAAAUAAUUUUUAUUAGUAAAAUAUUAUUUUGGCAGAAAUAUAUGCGUUAGAUUUAGGAUUUAAUUAUAUAGGGUUCC
rnacentral:rRNA from 1 species